rnacentral:rRNA from 1 species
UGGGGAAUAUUGCACAAUGGGCGCAAGCCUGAUGCAGCCAUGCCGCGUGUGUGAAGAAGGCCUUCGGGUUGUAAAGCACUUUCAGCGAGGAGGAAGGUGGUGAGCUUAAUACGCUCAUCAAUUGACGUUACUCGCAGAAGAAGCACCGGCUAACUCCGUGCCAGCAGCCGCGGUAAUACGGAGGGUGCAAGCGUUAAUCGGAAUUACUGGGCGUAAAGCGCACGCAGGCGGUUUGUUAAGUCAGAUGUGAAAUCCCCGGGCUCAACCUGGGAACUGCAUUUGAAACUGGCAAGCUAGAGUCUCGUAGAGGGGGGUAGAAUUCCAGGUGUAGCGGUGAAAUGCGUAGAGAUCUGGAGGAAUACCGGUGGCGAAGGCGGCCCCCUGGACGAAGACUGACGCUCAGGUGCGAAAGCGUGGGGAGCAAAACAGGAUUAGAUACCCUGGUAGUCCACGCUGUAAACGAUGUCGAUUUUGGAGGUUGUGCCCUUGAGGCGUGGCUUCCGGAGCUAACGCGUUAAAUCGACCGCCUGGGGAGUACGGCCGCAAGGUUAAAACUUAAAUGAAUUGC